GAAAAGAAAAGAAAAGAAAAGAAAAGAAAAGAAAAGAAAAGAAAAGAAAAGAAAAGAAAAGAAAAAAAGCCCAAAUUAGGCAUCGGAUAUCACGAGUCACAGUGGUACUCAGAGUUCCUUCUGCUGCUACGAAUAGAAAUUACUGUUAAAAGUCUCUCUGAAAAGGUGUCUGUAAUUCAGAAUUUGUUUUAUGUGCAAUUUAAAGUAGCUUAAAUUUAUUUGUUCUCUUUCAGAAGUUAUACUUUAACAUGAAAAACACCGAAGAGCAUAAAUUGUUCUUUAUUUAACAAUUUUAGAUCUGGGAAUAUUUCAUUUAGAUCUAUUCUAGAUUUUACUGCUGGUGUUAACAUGCAGGUAGUAUUCUGUCAUUCUUUCAUUUUUGCAAUGAUCUAACAGUGAAUUUUUCACUGAUGCAACAUGCAGAUAUUAUUCUUUUAUAUGCAUUUCAGUAAAUAUUAAACAAGUAUAUAAAAUAUAUGUAAAGGGUACUGGGAAUUUAGGGCCUACUCUGUAUGCUUAUGAUGGAGGUUGUUGUCCACUCUUCCGAAAGAUGACACUCGAGAAUUCAGAUGACAUGGAAAAUACAGAGGUUUUAAAUAGUGAUACAGCUAAAAUGCAAAACUCAGCCAAUGACAGCAAUAUCCCUUCCAAACUCUUUUUAACAGACACAAACUACUAAAUCCUUUAACUACAGAAUUGAGUCUGACUGACAGCUGAAGAAAAGUACACCUGAUAUUUAGAGAUAAACACUCUCAGUGUCAUAAAAAGGUAUGCCAGAUCUAACCUUCAGCCUGGACUUAGAAUGUCACAGUACAAAGGAAAUAGUUUUGUUUUUAUUCUUUGUCAUUAACAGGCUGGCUGAGCCAGGAGUUGGCUCUAAGAGUUCCUUAAAAAUGAGAGCAAAUAAUGUAAUGUAUUUAUGUCCUAAUCACAAAAAUGCCAGAAUAGUCUGCAUACUUUGUUAAUAGUCCUAAUGCCUUUCCAGGAAGGACAUACAGAGUAGUCUCAUUGGGGUUACUCUUAGUGUUAAAAUCAUGGAUCUGUUAAAUGUGUUAGGAAAUUAUGAUCUUUACUGUAUAAUUAGUAAGAUCUCUUGAUUCUCAUUGCUUAAGAUCCCAGAAGCUGAUAGGAGCUACUUUCUCUAUUUUACAGUGGGUAAGCUUGGGUGCAUGAAGAUAGUCCUGCCAAAGGCCAGGCAGGGAAUCCUUAACAAAGCCCAGAGCCCUUUAAGUUUCAUCUGAGUACUUUAACUUCACAGCAGCAAUUUUUAUCACCCUUUUAAUUUCACUGAAAAAGCCUUUAAAUACUCAAUAUAAUAACAGGUGACUGAAGGAUGAUCUUGAGGUAACUUGAAAGGAGAAGAUUUUUCUGCUUUCCACCUUAAAAAAGCACGGGUAUAUUAAACAAUGAGAACUGACAACAAAGGAGGACUUUAAGGAUUAAUAUGGGCCUCUGGAAAUGAGAUACAAGAUGUUCUGAAGGAUGCUAACCUCUGACUGAACAGGACAGAAGCUCUUCUGAUUCCCUAGUUUGGAUGAGAAAUUGUGUCUGCUCCUCAGAGAAAGAAAAAAAAUGAAGACUGGAGAAGAUGCAGUUAUCCCUUAUCCUCAUGAACCUCAUUUUAGCAGAUAAAAAGAUACUGAGUCUAGAGAGCAGAUGAGCUGGAUCCAUUACCACAUUUGUAUGACUUAUGGUGGUAGAACUGAUUAUGCCUUAUGGCACCAAAAUCUAGUAAUUCUUGCAGACGGCCCUUGUUCACGGUAAUCAGCCUAUUUGAGGGCAUUCUGCUUUUCAGUGUCCUUGUCAAUGCUAGCACAGAGAUAGAAACAUGCUGCUUCAUGCUCAGAGCUCUCUUGGGGCUUUAGUCUCUUCAUUAUGUGUAGUCCAGGUGUGGCCUAUGACAGAGACCUUUGAAGAAACGGUCUAUACAACUUUAUAUAUUUGUUGAUGGGAGGCUUGGGAAGUAGUUCAACAGGAGGAUUUGUGCCUGUAGAAGUUUAUGGGCAUGUUGGUAAUUUGCACCAGGACUUCUGAGCUGCUUGCUAAUAUCCUUGCCAAAAGUCAUGGAGCUCAGAUUUACAUGGAGUAUAUUUGUCAUUAGGAUUGGUAUUCAUCAAAUGUAACCUCGGUAUCUUGUAUCACUAAAUGUUUUGAUGCGAGUUGUUUUAAUUUUUCCAGAGAUAACCCUGGACUUAUCUUUAAAGCACUCAACAUCCAAUCUCCUCCUGUUUUGCCUUUGCUUAGCUCUCAGCUCUCUGUGUUGAGUGUGAUUGGUGACCUUUUUAAAGAAAGGUAUCAUCACUAAAAGUCUCCUCAUUGACAGCAUCCAUACUCUUAUGUUUUGUAGCUAAUGGAUUUUUUACCAUCUAAAAUAUUAUACAAAGUUUUGUCCCAGUAAAAGCUCACAUGCAGCUGUAAAGUGAUGUCUGCAGCUUAAAGGAGUGUCCCCUCUAAGAGUCGCUGGCAUAUGGGUUUUUAUGUAUUAGGGUCUGUAAAUGAGAUACCACUUGCAAAGAUUAACCAUGUUUCAGGGCUGUGUGCCAGAUGGUAAAAGUCAUAUGAGUUGUGGAGUCCUUAGAGAUUUUUUUUUUUUAGUUUGUUUUUGUUUAUCAUAGAGAAUAUGCUUCUGGGUUCAUAAAGUUUCAGCAUGUUCUUUCUAACGCGUCAUGGAGAAAGAAGUAUUAACUCUAUCCUGAAUCCAGGCCACCGACAGCUAUAAAAAUAGCCUUUAAAAGAGGAGGUAGGCAGCCUAUUUCCUGGGAGAAAAAAAUAGCGGUUUUAAAAUACUUUCUGUGUUGAUGCUAAAAUUAAUGGGUUGUUAUUGUUAUUCUCUGAAAUGAUCUAUUCAGAAGAUAAAGCAAUAUUUUUUGAAACGAAUGUAUUUAAAUACUCUGCUCACGCUGUUUGCCUGGUAAUGUAGUAUUGUUCUUACUACAAUGAACUACGCGUGCUUGGGUGUAAGCUUGCAUUCAAAUAGUACCACAGAGCAGCUUCCCCAGUCAGAUAUACAAAUAACUGGAGAUAUGUGAAAGCCAUGGUGAUGUGAGGCCACAGGCCAGGCAAGCCAAUGCAAGUCAUGGCACACAGCCAGCUUUAACAAGACUCUUCAGUGUACCCUGCUUGGGAGUAAGGCUUGCUGUGUAUGGUCUCUAGGAAGGUGAUGAACCCAUGAUUUUUAGCACAGAUAAAAAGGACACACCAUAAGUUAUCUAAUUGGACAGCAGAAUUUCCAUUUUCUUUGCUUGUGGAAAUUUACCUAACAACAACCUCCAUGUUGGAAAGCAGGCAGCAGCCACACAAGGUCGGUGGAGAUGCAGGAUGGAAGGGACCUUGAAGGCAGUGAGGCCCAGGCCGGCCUCGUGUGGGACGAACCGCAGCCCGUACCGCUUCCAUUGCCCGUAAUACGGAGGUUUGCCCUCGUCGCUGCGGUUUCGCUGCGGUUUCAGCCACCGCCGCGGAGCGCCCGGAGUCCGCUGGGGUCGGUCGGCAG
ensembl:lncRNA